rnacentral:rRNA from 1 species
AUUGAACGCUGGCGGCAGGCCUAACACAUGCAAGUCGAACGGUAGCACAGAGAGCUUGCUCUCGGGUGACGAGUGGCGGACGGGUGAGUAAUGUCUGGGAAACUGCCCGAUGGAGGGGGAUAACUACUGGAAACGGUAGCUAAUACCGCAUAACGUCGCAAGACCAAAGUGGGGGACCUUCGGGCCUCACACCAUCGGAUGUGCCCAGAUGGGAUUAGCUAGUAGGUGGGGUAAUGGCUCACCUAGGCGACGAUCCCUAGCUGGUCUGAGAGGAUGGCCAGCAGAACUGGAACUGAGACACGGUCCAGACUCCUACGGGAGGCAGCAGUGGGGAAUAUUGCACAAUGGGCGCAAGCCUGAUGCAGCCAUGCCGCGUGUAUGAAGAAGGCCUUCGGGUUGUAAAGUACUUUCAGCGGGGAGGAAGGCGGUGAAGUUAAUAACUUCACCGAUUGACGUUACCCGCAGAAGAAGCACCGGCUAACUCCGUGCCAGCCGCCGCUGUAA